UCUCUAAUUUAGAUGGUGUAUAGUAUGAAUAGGGGAUGAAAGCAAAUUUAAGAAUCAAAUGCUAUAUAUUUAUAGCCUUAAUUCAACCAUUAAGAGUUAAAAGUCACACGUCUACUCAUAUAAUGACCAUUGAAAAUCAUUGAGCAACCAUUAAAUUUGAAAGUGUUCACCAAACAAAUUUCAUAACCUAUGGACCACUAAAGACCAAGCUAGAUGGAGGAUACAGCUGUUGAAGAACAUUACUCACUGCUUACUGGAUGGACUACUGUGCAACACUGCAACAAGAUGGUUGUUCAUUGAUUCAUGAUAUCAAUGGUGAAAGUUCCGGUUAGCACUAAGGUUAAGUGAUGUCCAAUUACAUGUUUUUAUAUUCUAAAUUGGGACCGCCUCCUAUAGUUUAAUUUAAACAUUUAAUUUAAUUUAAACACAAGUGGAUUUGGUUAUAUAACCUCUGGGACAUACAUACACCAUUUUGGAGUAAAAAUACAGUAAAAUCUUUUUGUGCACCAGUAAAUGUUUUGUCAUCAUUAAUAAAUUAAAGUGUUUUAUUACGUAUAUAAUCUAUCUAUUUGCAGCUAAGGUAUCUAAAAAUAUGUUAAAAGUGCAUGUAAAUAUAUCAACUAUAUUUUCUUGUAUUUUAUGAAGAAGAAAAAAACACUAUAGUUUCUUGUAAGUUUUUUUAUGAUAAGUGUAAUGUAUCAUUUUUUAGAUUGAUAUUAAUGGAGGAUGAAAUACUUCUAAAAAAA